rnacentral:rRNA from 1 species
CCUACGGGCGGCUGCAGUGGGGAAUAUUGCACAAUGGGGGAAACCCUGAUGCAGCGACGCCGCGUGAGUGAAGAAGUAAUUCGUUAUGUAAAGCUCUAUCAGCAGGGAAGAAAAUGACGGUACCUGAGUAAGAAGCCCCGGCUAACUACGUGCCAGCAGCCGCGGUAAUACGUAGGGGGCAAGCGUUAUCCGGAUUUACUGGGUGGAAAGGGAGCGUAGACGGCAGUGCAAGUCUGGAGUGAAAGGCGGGGGCUCAACCCCCGGACUGCUCUGGAAACUGUACGGCUGGAGUGCAGGAGAGGUAAGUGGAAUUCCUAGUGUAGCGGUGAAAUGCGUAGAUAUUAGGAGGAACACCAGUGGCGAAGGCGGCUUACUGGACUGUAACUGACAUUGAGGCUCGAAAGCGUGGGGAGCAAACAGGAUUAGAUACCCCAGUAGUC